ensembl:lncRNA
CCGAUUGUUCUGCUUGUCUUUCGUCUGUGGACGAGGUAAAACAACUAGAACUCAUCCUCACUGAGCUUUUACUUUGAAAAGGUCCUUCGAUAGUGAAGAUAAACGUUUAUUUGUUGACUCUAUUUGUGUAUCUGUUUGUUUUAUGACUGAAUGCAGGAAGAAGAAAGCUGUGAGCUCCACCACUGAACCACAUGAGUCCAGAGAGGCUGUGGAGAUGGACCUUCAUCCUGAGUAUGAGGACCUCUCAGACAUGGCAGCACAGAGAGAAGACCCAGAGGAGCAGGAGGACCGGGUGUGAAGAUGCAGUCAAACCAGAGGGAGACUCACCUGGACGGAGACAGGAACAAGUGAACAUAUUUCCCUUCAGUACCACAAGUUAUUAUCUGAGGUCUUUACAAAGUUAAAACUGUACUUUUUAUUUCGUUCUCUUUGUUCUUGAAUCACUGUUUUUAUUUUAAAUGUUCUUUGGUAGAGAACUUUGAAUUUCAUUCUUGCUUCAAUGUGUUUUAUAGAUAAACUUGCAUUAAAAUAUCAGAAUUAGUGGCUUGUAGCAGAAUAUUCAUGAUGCUUUAAUUAUAUCUGUGCUGCUACAUUACUUGUGUGCAUGUUG